GGGGCCUUAGCUCAGCGGGAGAGCACCUCCUUUGCAAGGAGACGCGCGUCGGUUCGAUCCCGACAGGCUCCACCA
rnacentral:tRNA from 1 species